UACGAAGGGUGCAAGCGUUACUCGGAAUUACUGGGCGUAAAGCGUGCGUAGGUGGUGAGUUAAGUCUGUCGUGAAAGCCCCGGGCUCAACCUGGGAAUGGCGAUGGAUACUGGCUCGCUAGAGUGCGGUAGAGGAGAGUGGAAUUCCCGGUGUAGCAGUGAAAUGCGUAGAGAUCGGGAGGAACAUCAGUUGCGAAGGCGGCCUGCUGGGCAGUUUAGCUGACACUGAGGCGCGACAGCGUGGGGAGCAAACAGG
rnacentral:rRNA from 1 species